rnacentral:rRNA from 1 species
ACGACCGUACCGCAAACCGACACUGGUGCGCGAGAUGAGUAUUCUAAGGCGCUUGAGAGAACUCAGGAGAAGGAACUCGGCAAAUUGACACCGUAACUUCGGAAGAAGGUGUGCCUUUAGUAGGUGAAGUCCCUCGCGGAUGGAGCCCAAUGAGGUUGCAAAAAAUCGGUGGCUGCGACUGUUUAUUAAAAACACAGCACUCUGCAAACACGAAAGUGGACGUAUAGGGUGUGACGCCUGCCCGGUGCUGGAAGAUUAGAUGAUGGGGUGCAAGCUCUUGAUUGAAGUCCCAGUAAACGGCGGCCGUAACUAUAACGGUCCUAAGGUAGCGAAAUUCCUUGUCGGGUAAGUUCCGACCUGCACGAAUGGCGUAACGAUGGCCACACUGUCUCCUCCUGAGACUCAGCGAAGUUGAAAUGUUUGUGAUGAUGCAAUCUCCCCGCGGAAAGACGGAAAGACCCCAUGAACCUUUACUGUAGCUUUGUAUUGGACUUUGAACAGAUCUGUGUAGGAUAGGUGGGAGGCUUUGAAGCAGGGUCGCUAGAUCUUGUGGAGCCAACGUUGAAAUACCACCCUGGUGUGUUUGAGGUUCUAACCUAGGCCCGUAAUCCGGGUUGGGGACAGUGCAUGGUAGGCAGUUUGACUGGGGCGGUCUCCUCCCAAAGUGUAACGGAGGAGUUCGAAGGUACGCUAGUUACGGUCGGACAUCGUGACGAUAGUGCAAUGGCAUAAGCGUGCUUAACUGCGAGACUGACAAGUCGAGCAGAUGCGAAAGCAGGACAUAGUGAUCCGGUGGUUCUGUAUGGAAGGGCCAUCGCUCAACGGAUAAAAGGUACUCUGGGGAUAACAGGCUGAUACCGCCCAAGAGUUCAUAUCGACGGCGGUGUUUGGCACCUCGAUGUCGGCUCAUCUCAUCCUGGGGCUGUAGCCGGUCCCAAGGGUAUGGCUGUUCGCCAUUUAAAGAGGUACGUGAGCUGGGUUUAAAACGUCGUGAGACAGUUUGGUCCCUAUCUUCCGUGGGCGCUGCAGAUUUGAGGAAGCCUGCUCCUAGUACGAGAGGACCGGAGUGGACGCACCUCUGGUGUAUCGGUUGUCACGCCAGUGGCAUUGCCGAGUAGCUAUGUGCGGAAGAGAUAACCGCUGAAAGCAUCUAAGCGGGAAACUCGUUUCAAGAUGAGAUCUGCCGGGGCCUUGAGCCCCCUGAAGAGUCGUUCAAGACCAGGACGUUGAUAGGUCGGGUGUGGAAGCGCAGUAAUGCGUUAAGCUAACCGAUACUAAUUGCUCGUGCGGCUUGACC